GACGAACGCUGGCGGCGUGCCUAAUACAUGCACGUAGAACGCAGUUGCGAACGGGUGAGUAACGCGUCGGUAACUGCCUCAUAGCGGGGGAUAACUAUUGGAAACGAUAGCUAAUACCGCAUACUGUGAGAUGGACCUGCGUGGUCUUAGCUAGUUUGUGAGGUAAAGGCUCACCAGGGCGACGAUACAUAACCGACCUGAGUGGGUGAUCGGCCACACUGGGACAGAUAGAAGGCCCAGACUCCGACGGGAGGCAGCCGUAUGGAAUCUUCGGCAAUGGGCGGAAGUCUGGGCGAGGAACGCCGCGGGCGUGAAGAAGGUUUUCGGAUCGUAAAACUCAGUUGUUAGAGAAGCGUUAUCUAACCAGAAAGGGACGGCUAACUACGUGCCAGCAGCCGCGGUAAUAC
rnacentral:rRNA from 1 species